UCUUCAUUCCUCGUGCUAUCUCACCGAUCAGAGAAGCCAGAGAGAGUGUGCGAAAUGAGGAGA
rnacentral:pre_miRNA from 1 species